AUAGUUAGGCAGAUUGAUCUCAGCGCUGAGUCGAUCACCCUUCUCCAGUUGGAAGACCCCUCCCAGGUAGAUGGGCUCGUACCAGGGCUUGGCCUCGGUCCCCUCUGGGGUCUCCCUUUGGCAAGGGCUCUUGAUGGCAGAGAGUAGGUUGACCUUUGUCUGGUAGGAGACGGCGAAGCGGCUGAUGGUGUGGGUGAGGAGCACAUGGGUGGAAGGGCACCCUUGGCCCUUGAAGAGGACCUGGGAGUAGAUGAGGUACAACCCAUCUGACGGCACUAUCAGCUGGUUGUCUGUCAGCUCCACGCCGUUGGCCAGGAGGGCAUUGGCACGUCGGCUCAGCCACUGGAGCUGCCCCUCAGCUUCGGGGUUUGCUGGAGGGAAGAAGAGAAGGAGAGAGGGUUGCCUCCGCAGAGCUCUUACCUACAACAUGAGCUACUGGCUUGUCACUUGGAGUUCGAGAAGAUGAUUCUGAGGAGGGAAGAGGAAAGAAAAUGAGCGAAGGCUCCAAAGAAGACACUACUGGGGCUGAGGAGUAGGUGGGAGAUGCCAUCGGUGUGAGUGGAUAGCUGGUCUCCCUGGGACCUUUCCUUCAACCUCAGGACAAGAGGUCUAUCUGGAAGGCUGAGCUGAACUGCCCAGAGAUGAAUUCCAGGGGUGCGAUGGGAGCAGAAGCUGGAGAGGACCCGCGCCCUGGAGGAUACAGAGGACUGAGGAGCUCCAGGGGAGAUAGCUUUGGGUGUGGAUCUCUAGUUGCCCAAGAACAGACAACCCAGGUUACAUAAUUUGGCUCUUUCCAUCUCCUUCCCCUGCUCCUAAUUUUAGCAACCAAAAUUCCACUCCCCCCCCCCCCCCCCCAGGGCUCUUCCUCUGUCCAUUCUGCUUCUAUUCCAUCCUCCCACAACCUCCUCAGGGCCCCCAGCUCCAGCUGCCCCCAAUUCAGAGCAUUCAGUGACUCAGCAAAGGGAAAGCCCUGUGUUGGGGGAGGGGGUGUUAAAUGGGGAGGAGGAUGUGGUUCUGCCUGGGGAACUGGGGAGAGGAGGGAAACUGGCUUUGUUCCCUUUUCUGCCUCAGUUCACAUCUAUUUUUCCAGUCAUUGACUGCACAGUGGAGGAGCCCAGUGCAGGGAAUGGAGUGAGACUGGUGGGCAUACUGGGUCUCCUAAGGGCUGCCUCUGUGGGUGGGCAUGCAGGGCCUUCCUGGCUCCAGCUGAGAGCACAUCUUAGUGUGUGCGUGUGUGUUGCAGGUGUGUAGGAGCUGCGGGUUUGGGCAGGCGGGGUAGGAAAGAGAUGUCAUGUAUGAUGAAAACCACAGCAAUGGAAAAAGGCAGAGGAGACACAGGGAGUGAGAUGUGGAACCAGGUCUUAUUAGGAAAUGGAGGUGCCAAGCAGCAGUGGUGGUGGCCCAUAUCCUCCCCACUCCCACUCAAUACAAAUUUUGCUCCCACCCCAUAUCCUUCAUCCUGUGGCAUUGGCCUCUUCCUCGUCAUCCCCAUACUUGACUUU